GUGAAACAGAGAAAGAGAAGAGAGAGAGAGGGGAGAAGAGGGAGGGAGUGAAACAGAGAGAGAAGAGAGAGAAGAGGGAGAAGAGGGAGGGAGUGAAACAGAGAAAGAAGAGAGAGCAGAGAGAGAAGAGAGAGAAGAGGGGGAAGAGAGAGAAGAGAGAGAGAGGGAGUGAAACAGAGAAAGAGAAGAGAGAGAGAGGGGGUGAAACAGAGAGAGAAGAGAGAGAGGGAGGGAGUGAAACAGAGAAAGAGAAGAGAGAGAAGAGAGAGAAGAGAGAGAGAGGGAGUGAAACAGAGAGAGAAGAGAGAGAGAGAGGGAGUGAAACAGAGGAGAGAAGAGAGAGAAGAGAGAGAAGAGAGAGAAGAGAGUGAAGAGAGAGAGAGGGAGUGAAACAGAGAAAGAAGAGAGAGAGGGAGUGAAACAGAGAAAGAGAAGAGAGAAGAGGGAGUGAAACAGAGAAAGAGAAGAGAGAAGAGGGAGUGAAACAGAGAAAGAAGAGAGAGAGAAGAGAGAGAGAGAGAGUGAAACAGAGAAAGAGAAGAGAGAGAGAGGGAGUGAAACAGAGAAAGAGAAGAGAGAGAAGAGAGAGAAGAGAGAGAGAGGGGGUGAAACAGAGAAAGAGAAGAGAGAGAAGAGAGAGAAGAGAGAGAGAGGGAGUGAAACAGAGAAGAGAGAGAAGAGAGAGAAGAGAGA
ensembl:lncRNA